rnacentral:rRNA from 1 species
AACGAACGCUGGCGGCAUGCCUAACACAUGCAAGUCGAACGAGACCUUCGGGUCUAGUGGCGCACGGGUGCGUAACGCGUGGGAAUCUGCCCUUGGGUUCGGAAUAACAGUUGGAAACGACUGCUAAUACCGGAUGAUGACGUAAGUCCAAAGAUUUAUCGCCCAAGGAUGAGCCCGCGUAGGAUUAGCUAGUUGGUGAGGUAAAGGCUCACCAAGGCGACGAUCCUUAGCUGGUCUGAGAGGAUGAUCAGCCACACUGGGACUGAGACACGGCCCAGACUCCUACGGGAAGCAGCAGUGGGGAAUAUUGGACAAUGGGCGAAAGCCUGAUCCAGCAAUGCCGCGUGAGUGAUGAAGGCCUUAGGGUUAUAAAGCUCUUUUACCCGGGAUGAUAAUGACAGUACCGGGAGAAUAAGCUCCGGCUAACUCCGUG